GAUCAUGGCUCAGGAUAAACGCUGGCGGCGUGCUUAACACAUGCAAGUCGAACGGAGUAGUCUCCCGAGGAUUGAUGAAGCUUGCUUCUGAUAAACCCAUUGAGCUACUUAGUGGCGGACGGGUGAGUAACGCGUGGGUAACCUGCCCUAUGCAGGGGGAUAACAGUUGGAAACGACUGUUAAUACCGCAUAAGCGCACAGUAUCGCAUGGUACAGUGUGAAAAACUCCGGUGGCAUAGGAUGGACCCGCGUCUGAUUAGCUAGUUGGUGAGGUAACGGCCCACCAAGGCGACGAUCAGUAGCCGGCCUGAGAGGGUGUACGGCCACAUUGGGACUGAGACACGGCCCAAACUCCUACGGGAGGCAGCAGUGGGGAAUAUUGGACAAUGGGGGAAACCCUGAUCCCAGCGACGCCGCGUGAACGAUGAAGUAUUUCGGUAUGUAAAGUUCUAUCAGCAGGGAAGAUAAUGACGGUACCUGACUAAGAAGCACCGGCUAAAUACGUGCCAGCCGCGGC
rnacentral:rRNA from 1 species